rnacentral:rRNA from 1 species
AACGAACGCUGGCGGCAGGCUUAACACAUGCAAGUCGAGCGCCCUCUUCGGAGGGAGCGGCGGACGGGUUAGUAACGCGUGGGAACGUGCCCUUUACUACGGAAUAGCCUCUGGAAACGGAGAGUAAUACCGUAUGUGCCCUUCGGGGGAAAGAUUUAUCGGUAAAGGAUCGGCCCGCGUUAGAUUAGGUAGUUGGUGGGGUAACGGCCUACCAAGCCGACGAUCUAUAGCUGGUUUUAGAGGAUGAUCAGCAACACUGGGACUGAGACACGGCCCAGACUCCUACGGGAGGCAGCAGUGGGGAAUCUUGGACAAUGGGCGCAAGCCUGAUCCAGCCAUGCCGCGUGAGUGAAGAAGGCCCUAGGGUCGUAAAGCUCUUUCGCCUGUGAUGAUAAUGACAGUAGCAGGUAAAGAAACCCCGGCUAACUCCGUGCCAGCCGCCGCGGUAAU